GGAUUGGGAGGUAUUGAAUUAGAUAGCGAGAUUCCUGUUUUGAAUUCUAGGCUUUUAGAGAUUAGUAGGAUGAUGCAAUCUGGUUUGCCCUUAGAUGAUCGCCCCGAAGGUGCUCGAUCACCUUCCCCUGAGCCGGUUUAUGAUAACAUGGGUGUUAGGAUUAAUACUAGGGAAUAUCGUGCUCGUGAGAGGUUGCAAAAAGAGAGACAGGAGAUUAUAUCCGCUAUUAUUAAGAAAAACCCUGCUUUCAAGCCACCUGCUGAUUAUAGGCCACCAAAGCUUCAUAAAAAGCUUUAUAUCCCCAUGAAGGAGUACCCUGGUUAUAAUUUUAUCGGCCUCAUUAUUGGGCCGAGGGGGAACACACAGAAGCGCAUGGAGAAGGAAACCGGUGCGAAGAUUGUAAUUCGUGGAAAAGGGUCAGUGAAGGAAGGGAGGUUGCAGCAGAAGAGGGAUUAUAAGCCUGAUCUUUCAGAUAACGAGGAUUUGCAUGUUUUGGUGGAGGCGGAGACGCAGGAAUCACUUGAUGCUGCUGCUGGUAUGGUGGAGAAGCUGUUGCAGCCGGUGGAUGAGGUGUUGAAUGAGCAUAAGAGACAGCAGCUUAAGGAGCUCGCUGCUUUGAAUGGGACAAUCAGGGAUGAAGAGUUUUGCAGGUUGUGUGGUGAGCCUGGUCAUCGUCAGUAUGCAUGUCCUACUAGGAAUUCGACAUUCAAGAGUGAGGUUGUGUGUAAGCAUUGUGGGGAUGGUGGUCAUCCAAGUAUAGAUUGUCCGGUGAAGGGUGCUACUGGGAAGAAGAUGGAUGAUGAGUAUCAGAACUUCCUGGCGGAGUUGGGUGGUUCAGUUCCUGAAUCUGCAACGACACAAACCAAUGUGUUGGCAAUUGGUUCUGGAAAUUCUGGAAGCAAUCCUCCUUGGGCUAACAAUUUCGGAUCAAGUGGUGGCACACAACAUGCUGGAUUAGGGUUUAAUCCAGCUAAAAAGGAAAUAGAUGAUACAAACUUGUACAUCGGGUAUUUGCCACCUACCCUUGAGGAUGAUGGUCUGAUCCAAUUGUUUCAACAAUUUGGGGAGAUUGUCAUGGCAAAAGUUAUAAAGGAUCGACUGACUGGUUUAAGUAAAGGAUAUGGGUUUGUCAAGUAUGCUGAUGUUCAAAUGGCGAACACUGCAAUUGCGUCCAUGAAUGGUUAUCACCUUGAGGGUCGGACCAUUAGUGCCGCCGUGACCAGCGGCACCACCGAGAAGGACCAAUCCGGUGGCGAGGAGGAGACCACCAGCAAACGCCGCCGCCGAAAGAGCCGAUGGGACCCACAGCCAGACUCCAACGAACAAAACGGCUCCGAUUCUGGCACCAAGAAGAGGAAGUCACGAUGGGCGGAGGAGCCAACGCCGGUGUCCAUUCAUCUGGGAGAUCUCAUGGGAUUGGGAGGUAUUGAAUUAGAUAGCGAGAUUCCUGUUUUGAAUUCUAGGCUUUUAGAGAUUAGUAGGAUGAUGCAAUCUGGUUUGCCCUUAGAUGAUCGCCCCGAAGGUGCUCGAUCACCUUCCCCUGAGCCGGUUUAUGAUAACAUGGGUGUUAGGAUUAAUACUAGGGAAUAUCGUGCUCGUGAGAGGUUGCAAAAAGAGAGACAGGAGAUUAUAUCCGCUAUUAUUAAGAAAAACCCUGCUUUCAAGCCACCUGCUGAUUAUAGGCCACCAAAGCUUCAUAAAAAGCUUUAUAUCCCCAUGAAGGAGUACCCUGGUUAUAAUUUUAUCGGCCUCAU
rnacentral:lncRNA from 1 species